rnacentral:rRNA from 1 species
CCUACGGGUGGCAGCAGUGGGGAAUAUUGCACAAUGGGCGAAAGCCUGAUGCAGCAACGCCGCGUGAAGGCAGAAGGGUUUCGGCUCGUAAACUUCUAUCAACAGGGACGAAAGAAAUGACGGUACCUGAAUAAGAAGCCCCGGCUAACUACGUGCCAGCAGCCGCGGUAAUACGUAGGGGGCAAGCGUUAUCCGGAUUUACUGGGUGUAAAGGGGGCGCAGACGGCAAUGCAAGCCAUGAGUGAAAGCCCGGGGCCCAACCCCGGGACUGCUCUUGGAACUGCAUGGCUGGAGUACAGGAGGGGCAGGCGGAAUUCCUAGUGUAGCGGUGAAAUGCGUAGAUAUUAGGAGGAACACCGGUGGCGAAGGCGGCCUGCUGGACUGUGACUGACGUUGAGGCCCGAAGGCGUGGGGAGCAAACAGGAUUAGAUACCCUAGUAGUC